CCGCGCCGCGCGCUCCCGAGCCCGGGGCGAGGAUGGGGAGCGGCACGGGAGCGGGAAUGCUGCGGCUCCCUGCGCAGCCCCGCAGCACUGACUGGGGCAGGACACUGUCCUUCUGCUGUUUGUCCGUGAGAUGUGAAGUUAUCCCAUUGCACAGCUACUCUGGCUGUACACAGACACUGCAGGCAGUGUAUCAGCAUUAACACCUCUGUGUUAUACAAAGCCAGAACACUGCAGUCUUUCCAAGCACUGAAGAUCACAAGUUUGAAGAAAUUUUUCCAAGAACUACAGAAGUCAUGAAGCUAGAUUUCCUCCAAAUUUGUUUUCUAGCCACUGAAGGCCAUGAGUCACCUCCCUUCACAACCAUAAGCCUUCCUUCGUUUAGUCCUCCCCUGCGUGUUCUGGAUGGACAAGAGGCUGGACUGCAGUUAAGUCUUAACUACAUUUGUAGUUUAUCCCAAGCUCCGCCCAGGGAGGUUCCUUCUGUCAGUGGUCCAUUGAGUCUCUCGGCAUGACUGAUAAAAUGACAUCAUCCCAUUGUGAGAUGCUCUGCCCAGGGGAGAAGCCAAGCAUUCCUACCUGAAUAUAAUCUGAGAUUUGGAACACCAGGAGAGCAUUUUUCCAUUGGAUUCCCAGAGGAAGACCAGGCCCAUCUACACCAGCACUGGACCUCCAGAGGAAAACUCCAGCCUUCUACAGGACCACACCUUCGCUACAGGAGGACUGCAGCCACCAUUUAACGGGACUGCUACCAACACCCUGACUAACACGGUGUCCGGUUGUAUUCUGACUCUGUCAGUGGUUUUUUGUAUUACUGCAUUUUUGUUUUAAUUUUCCUAGUAAAGAACUGUUAUUCCUCUUCCCAUA